CCUCUGGUGUUGUUUCUGCGGGCUUCACCGGCCCCGGAGGGGAGGAGGUCAAAGGAAAGGGCAGGGGUGGGGGCGGCUGCAAGCCCGAGCCCCUCCCGCUUGCAGCCCCCGCCGUCUGCCUGCAGGAGGCUUUUCAUAGACUCCACCUGGCUCUGUGCUGAGGCGGAACCGCUCGGGCGCCUAUCAAUAGAACGCGGCAGAGGGUGACCAGGCGACAGAUUGAGGGGCCCUGCCAGGGGGACUGCGGAGCAGAGAAGCAUGGGGAUCCUGGAGACACCCUGCUCCGGGACUCGCACCCCACCCCCCUGCAGUGCUGGAACUCGCCCUGCGGGCCAGCCUUCUCUCGAACCUGCGUGCCCUCCACACGGCCGUCGCAUGUGGCGCUUCUUCACCGUCAAACUUCAUAAGUUACGUCCUCAGAAGGCCUCCCUGCCCCUCGAUCCGGGUCAGUCUGCCCAGCAAGCCUCUCCCACGAGCCACGAGUCCCCUUCGCGCGCGCACCUGCUGGGAACUGCCCACCAGGGUGUCCACGGGAAGGCGGGGUUCCCCCAGCACCUGCACCCCCAGAUGACUAAACGACUUCUUGAAAUAAAGGUUAAAAACUUGCCAAAGUAAA